GUCCUUCAACCCCCUCAAUACUCCUCUCUCUCUCUCUCUCUCUCUCUCUCUCUUCCAACAAAGAGUCCUUCAACCCCUUCAAUACUCCUCUCUCUCUCUUCCAACAAGCAGUCCUUCAACCCCCUCAAUACUCCCUCUCUCUCUCUCUCUCUCUCUCUCUCUUCCAACAAGCAGUCCUUCAACCCCCUCAAAACUCCCCUCUCUCUCUCUCUUCCAACAAGCAUCCUUCAACCCCCUUAAUACUACUCUCUCUCUCUUUCAACAAGCAGUCCUUAAACCCCUUCAAUACUCCUCUCUCUCUCUCUCUCUUCCAACAAACAGUCCUUCAACCCCCCUCAAUACUCCUCUCUCUCUCUCUCUCUCUCUCGCUCUCCCAACAAACAGUCCUUCAACCCCCUCAAUACUCCUCUCUCUCUCUCUCUCUCUUCCAACAAACAGUCCUUCAACCCCUUCAAUACUCCUCUCUCUCUCUUCCAACAAGCAGUCCUUCAACCCCCUCAAUACUCCCUCUCUCUCUCUCUCUCUCUCUCUUCCAACAAGCAGUCCUUCAACCCCCUUAAUACUACUCUCUCUCUCUUUCAACAAGCAUCCUUCAACCCCCCUCAAUACUCCUCUCUCUCUCUCUCUCUUCCAACAAGCAGUCC
rnacentral:lncRNA from 1 species